GGGUUGUGAGGUUAAGCGACUAAGCGUACACGGUGGAUGCCCUGGCAGUCAGAGGCGAUGAAGGACGUGCUAAUCUGCGAUAAGCGUCGGUAAGGUGAUAUGAACCGUUAUAACCGGCGAUUUCCGAAUGGGGAAACCCAGUGUGAUUCGUCACACUAUCAUUAACUGAAUCCAUAGGUUAAUGAGGCGAACCGGGGGAACUGAAACAUCUAAGUACCCCGAGGAAAAGAAAUCAACCGAGAUUCCCCCAGUAGCGGCGAGCGAACGGGGAGGAGCCCAGAGCCUGAAUCAGUGUGUGUGUUAGUGGAAGCGUCUGGAAAGGCGCGCGAUACAGGGUGACAGCCCCGUACACAAAAAUGCACAUGCUGUGAGCUCGAUGAGUAGGACGGGACACGUGGUAUCCUGUCUGAAUAUGGGGGGACCAUCCUCCAAGGCUAAAUACUCCUGACUGACCGAUAGUGAACCAGUACCGUGAGGGAAAGGCGAAAAGAACCCCGGCGAGGGGAGUGAAAAAGAACCUGAAACCGUGUACGUACAAGCAGUGGGAGCACAGAGCAAUCUGUGUGACUGCGUACCUUUUGUAUAAUGGGUCAGCGACUUAUAUUCUGUAGCAAGGUUAACCGAAUAGGGGAGCCGAAGGGAAACCGAGUCUUAACUGGGCGUUAAGUUGCAGGGUAUAGACCCGAAACCCGGUGAUCUAGCCAUGGGCAGGUUGAAGGUUGGGUAACACUAACUGGAGGACCGAACCGACUAAUGUUGAAAAAUUAGCGGAUGACUUGUGGCUGGGGGUGAAAGGCCAAUCAAACCGGGAGAUAGCUGGUUCUCCCCGAAAGCUAUUUAGGUAGCGCCUCGUGAAUUCAUCUCCGGGGGUAGAGCACUGUUUCGGCAAGGGGGUCAUCCCGACUUACCAACCCGAUGCAAACUGCGAAUACCGGAGAAUGUUAUCACGGGAGACACACGGCGGGUGCUAACGUCCGUCGUGAAGAGGGAAACAACCCAGACCGCCAGCUAAGGUCCCAAAGUCAUGGUUAAGUGGGAAACGAUGUGGGAAGGCCCAGACAGCCAGGAUGUUGGCUUAGAAGCAGCCAUCAUUUAAAGAAAGCGUAAUAGCUCACUGGUCGAGUCGGCCUGCGCGGAAGAUGUAACGGGGCUAAACCAUGCACCGAAGCUGCGGCAGCGACGCUUAUGCGUUGUUGGGUAGGGGAGCGUUCUGUAAGCCUGUGAAGGUGUGCUGUGAGGCAUGCUGGAGGUAUCAGAAGUGCGAAUGCUGACAUAAGUAACGAUAAAGCGGGUGAAAAGCCCGCUCGCCGGAAGACCAAGGGUUCCUGUCCAACGUUAAUCGGGGCAGGGUGAGUCGACCCCUAAGGCGAGGCCGAAAGGCGUAGUCGAUGGGAAACAGGUUAAUAUUCCUGUACUUGGUGUUACUGCGAAGGGGGGACGGAGAAGGCUAUGUUGGCCGGGCGACGGUUGUCCCGGUUUAAGCGUGUAGGCUGGUUUUCCAGGCAAAUCCGGAAAAUCAAGGCUGAGGCGUGAUGACGAGGCACUACGGUGCUGAAGCAACAAAUGCCCUGCUUCCAGGAAAAGCCUCUAAGCAUCAGGUAACAUCAAAUCGUACCCCAAACCGACACAGGUGGUCAGGUAGAGAAUACCAAGGCGCUUGAGAGAACUCGGGUGAAGGAACUAGGCAAAAUGGUGCCGUAACUUCGGGAGAAGGCACGCUGAUAUGUAGGUGAAGUCCCUCGCGGAUGGAGCUGAAAUCAGUCGAAGAUACCAGCUGGCUGCAACUGUUUAUUAAAAACACAGCACUGUGCAAACACGAAAGUGGACGUAUACGGUGUGACGCCUGCCCGGUGCCGGAAGGUUAAUUGAUGGGGUCAGCGCAAGCGAAGCUCUUGAUCGAAGCCCCGGUAAACGGCGGCCGUAACUAUAACGGUCCUAAGGUAGCGAAAUUCCUUGUCGGGUAAGUUCCGACCUGCACGAAUGGCGUAAUGAUGGCCAGGCUGUCUCCACCCGAGACUCAGUGAAAUUGAACUCGCUGUGAAGAUGCAGUGUACCCGCGGCAAGACGGAAAGACCCCGUGAACCUUUACUAUAGCUUGACACUGAACAUUGAGCCUUGAUGUGUAGGAUAGGUGGGAGGCUUAGAAGUGUGGACGCCAGUCUGCAUGGAGCCGACCUUGAAAUACCACCCUUUAAUGUUUGAUGUUCUAACGUUGACCCGUGAUCCGGGUUGCGGACAGUGUCUGGUGGGUAGUUUGACUGGGGCGGUCUCCUCCUAAAGAGUAACGGAGGAGCACGAAGGUUGGCUAAUCCUGGUCGGACAUCAGGAGGUUAGUGCAAUGGCAUAAGCCAGCUUGACUGCGAGCGUGACGGCGCGAGCAGGUGCGAAAGCAGGUCAUAGUGAUCCGGUGGUUCUGAAUGGAAGGGCCAUCGCUCAACGGAUAAAAGGUACUCCGGGGAUAACAGGCUGAUACCGCCCAAGAGUUCAUAUCGACGGCGGUGUUUGGCACCUCGAUGUCGGCUCAUCACAUCCUGGGGCUGAAGUAGGUCCCAAGGGUAUGGCUGUUCGCCAUUUAAAGUGGUACGCGAGCUGGGUUUAGAACGUCGUGAGACAGUUCGGUCCCUAUCUGCCGUGGGCGCUGGAGAACUGAGGGGGGCUGCUCCUAGUACGAGAGGACCGGAGUGGACGCAUCACUGGUGUUCGGGUUGUCAUGCCAAUGGCACUGCCCGGUAGCUAAAUGCGGAAGAGAUAAGUGCUGAAAGCAUCUAAGCACGAAACUUGCCCCGAGAUGAGUUCUCCCUGACUCCUUGAGAGUCCUGAAGGAACGUUGAAGACGACGACGUUGAUAGGCCGGGUGUGUAAGCGCAGCGAUGCGUUGAGCUAACCGGUACUAAUGAACCGUGAGGCUUAACCUUACAACGCCGAAG
rnacentral:rRNA from 1 species